rnacentral:miRNA from 13 species
CAAGCUCGCGUCUGUGGGUCUG